CCUUUAGGGGUAAAACCAUGGUUUGAUUUAAAAGAUCAAUGCUUAUUAUUCAGCCACCUAAAG
rnacentral:tRNA from 1 species